rnacentral:rRNA from 1 species
UAAAGUGAAACAAGGGCGUACGGUGGAUGCCUAGGGUCCGAGAGGCGAGGAAGGACGCGGUAAGCUGCGAAAAUCCCGGGGGAGCCGCACACAGGCGCGAUAUCCCGGGGUGUCCGAAUGGGGCAACCCGGCAUGCUGAAGGCAUGCCACCCGCGAGGGGGCCAACCUCCUGAACUGAAACAUCUAAGUAGGGAGAGGAAAAGAAAAUAAUCGAAUGAUUCCCGGAGUAGUGGCGAGCGAAAGGGGAAGAGCCCAAACCGGGGCUGCGUGCAGCCCCGGGGUUGUAGGACCGCGUUUAGGAAGCGCCACCAAGCCGAAGGCCCUGGAAAGGGCGGCCGUAGCGGGUGACAGCCCCGUAGGCGCAAACUGGCGUGGACGAGCGGAAUCCUGAGUAGCGCGGGACCGGAGGAAUCCUGCGCGAACCCGCCGGCACCAUCCGGCAAGGCUAAAUACUCCUCGGACACCGAUAGUGGACCAGUACCGUAAGGGAAAGGUGAAAAGUACCGUGGACAACGGGGUGAAAUAGUACCUGAAACCGUACGCCUACAAGCGGUCGGAGCACAGCGAUGUGUGACGGCGUGCCUUUUGCAUAAUGAACCUACGAGUUGCACCUCACCGGCGAGGUUAAGCCCUUUGGGGCGGAGCCGCAGCGAAAGCGAGUCCGAACAGGGCGCACGGUCGGUGGGGGCAGACGCGAAACUUAGUGAUCUAUCCAUGGGCAGGUUGAAGGCCCGGUAACACGGGGUGGAGGACCGAACCCGUUGACGUUGAAAAGUCUUGGGAUGACCUGUGGAUAGGGGUGAAAGGCCAAUCAAACUGAGAGAUAGCUCGUUCUCCCCGAAAUGUUUUUAGGAACAGCGUCGCGUAGCGAGUCUGGCGGAGGUAGAGCUACUGACUGGACUAGGGGGCUUCACCGCCUGCCAAAUCCUGACAAACUCCGAAUGCCGCCAGACGUCCGCGGCAGUGAGGCUCUGUGCGCUAAGGUGCAGGGCCGAGAGGGAAAGAACCCAGAACAGCGGCUAAGGUCCCCAAUGCAUGGCUAAGUCAGACAAACGGGGUGGGGUUUCGCAGACAGCCAGGAUGUUUGCUCGGAAGCAGCAAUCCAUUCAAAGAGUGCGUAACAGCUCACUGGUCGAGAGGCCCCGCACGGAAAAUGAUCGGGUGUCAAGCCAUGAACCGAAGCCCUGUACCGGCGCGUUUUGCGUGCCGGUGGUAGGGGAGCAUCGGUGCCGUGCCGAAGCCGCGGGGCGACCCGCGGUGGAACGGCACCGAAAGAAAAUGUAGGUAUGAGUAACGAUAAAAGGGGUGGAAAACCCCUUCGCCGAAAACCCAAGGGUUCCUGAUCAACGUUAAUCGGAUCAGGGUCAGUCCGGUCCUUAGGAUAAGCCGAAGGGCGAAGCCGAUGGCAAGCAGGUCAACAUUCCUGCACCUGCACAGCGAUGGAAGCGACGGAUCCCCCAGCUCUCUGCGUACUGACGGAAUAGUGCGCGGAGCGUAGCCUUCGGGCGAGGCGAAGAGGGGGCGGGGGUCCCAAGAAAAGCGAGCUGUGCGGCCGGUACCGUAAACCGACACAGGUGGGUGGGAAGAGUAUUCCAAGGCGCUCGGGUGAGCCGUGGAGAAGGAACUAGGCAAAUUGACGCUGUAACUUCGGGAUAAAGCGUACCGCAGCGAUGCGGUCCCAGCAAAAUGGUGCGACCAACUGUUUAACAAAAACACAGGGCCCUGCUAAAUCGCGAGAUGAAGUAUAGAGCCUGAUGCCUGCCCGGUGCCGGAAGGUUAAGGAAGCAUGUUCGGGGCGACCCAAAGCUUGUGACCGAAGCCCCGGUAAACGGCGGCCGUAACUAUAACGGUCCUAAGGUAGCGAAAUUCCUUGUCGGGUAAGUUCCGACCUGCACGAAUGGUCUAAUGAGUUGCACACUGUCUCCUCCACGAGCCCGGUGAAAUUGUGGUAUCGGUGAAGACGCCGGUUACCCGCCACGGGACGGAAAGACCCCGUGAACCUUCACUACAGCUUUGCACUGUUCUUGGACAACCGGUGUGUAGGAUAGUUGGGAGGCACAGAGGCUGCGUCGCCAGGCGCGGCGGAGCCGUUGUUGAAAUACCAACCUCCUGUUGUCUAGGGGCUAACCCCGCGUAAGCGUGGGACACUGCAUGGCGGGUAGUUUGACUGGGGUGGUCGCCUCCUAAAGAGUAACGGAGGCUUGCAAAGGUACCCUCACUACGGUUGGUAACCGUAGGCGGAGCAUAUUGGUAUAAGGGUGCUUGACUGUGGGACGGACAUGUCGAACAGGGGCGAAAGCCGGCUAAAGUGAUCCGGCGGUUCUGUAUGGAAGGGCCGUCGCUCAAAGGAUAAAAGGUACUCCGGGGAUAACAGGCUGAUCUUACCCAAGAGCCCAUAUCGACGGUAAGGUUUGGCACCUCGAUGUCGGUUCGUCACAUCCUGGGGCUGGAGAAGGUCCCAAGGGUUCGGCUGUUCGCCGAUUAAAGUGGCACGCGAACUGGGUUCAGAACGUCGCAAGACAGUUCGGUCCCUAUCUGUGGUGGGCGCAAGUAAGCUGCGGGGACAUGCUCUUAGUACGAGAGGACCGGAGCGUACGUACCGCUGGUGUACCUGUUGUCGUGCCAACGGCAGUGCAGGGUAGCUAUGUACGGUCGGGAUAAACGCUGAAGGCAUCUAAGCGUGAAACCUCCCCCAAGAUGAGCUUACUGUGAAGGGCCGUCGGAGACGACGACGUCGAUAGGCCGCAGGUGUAAAGGUGGCAACACCAAAGCCGAGCGGUACUAAUAGCCCGUAAGCUUUAGGGC